CCAUGGCUGUCAUACCCUUAUGAACCAAUAUCCGCUUGAGCUGAUUGAAGAUUCUCUUGGUGGAGAUGGGAUGCUGCAGGUGCCUCUGUGCUUUGUUUAGGUGUCUUGUUAAAGGGAGGAGCAACUGAUAAUGUUCAAAGUAUUUUUGCUCCUUGACGGACCUGCAUGCAUUGAAAGGUUUGUUUGGUUUUGUUGGCAACUAGCAAGUUGUAUUUUAAACUGCCAUAAUUAAGAAUGUAAUUUUGCACGCACUCUAUUCUUAGGGGUUUUGUUUCUCCGCUUUGUUUUAUCGGGUGGAAGGGGAAUCUGAAAUCUUGUUGUACAUGAUGUGUGACAAUUCUUUUAGGUUAUUUAGUAAUAGCAUAUGGAAAUAGUUGCUAAUCCAAUAGUUGGCUCCACACAAUUUUAUUGCACUGCAAUAUUUUGUAGGGGGAAAGGUUAAAAUGUAAGAAUGCUGGAGCUGCUGUGAGCACUAGUCGCCAACCAUUGGAUUAGCAACUAUUUCCAUAUGCUAUUACUAAAUAACCUAAAAGAAUUGUCACACAUCAUGUACAACAAGAUUUCAGAUUCCCCUUCCACCCGAUAAAACAAAGCGGAGAAACAAAACCCCUAAGAAUAGAGUGCGUGCAAAAUUAC
rnacentral:misc_RNA from 1 species